GCAAGUCGAACGAUACUACCGGGCUUGCUCGGUAGGAAAGUGGCGCACGGGUGCGUAACGCGUAUGCAACCUACCUUAAUCAGGGGGAUAGCCCGAAGAAAUUCGGAUUAACACCGCAUAAAAUCACAGUACAGCAUUGUACAAUGAUCAAAUAUUUAUAGGAUUAAGAUGGGCAUGCGUGUCAUUAGUUAGUUGGCGAGGUAACGGCUCACCAAGACCACGAUGACUAGGGGAUCUGAGAGGAUGACCCCCCACACUGGUACUGAGACACGGACCAGACUCCUACGGGAGGCAGCAGUAAGGAAUAUUGGUCAAUGGAGGCAACUCUGAACCAGCCAUGCCGCGUGCAGGAAGACAGCCCUCUGGGUCGUAAACUGCUUUUAUUCGGGAAUAAACCUACUUACGUGUAAGUAGCUGAAUGUACCGAAGGAAUAAGGAUCGGCUAACUCCGUGCCAGCAGCCGCGGUAAUACGGAGGAUCCAAGCGUUAUCCGGAUUUAUUGGAUUUAAAGGGUGCGUAGGCGGCUUAUUAAGUCAGGGGUGAAAGACGGUGGCUCAACCAUCGCAGUGCCCUUGAUACUGAUGAGCUUGAAUACACUAGAGGUAGGCGGAAUGUGACAAGUAGCGGUGAAAUGCAUAGAUAUGUCACAGAACACCGAUUGCGAAGGCAGCUUACUAUGGUGUUAUUGACGCUGAGGCACGAAAGCGUGGGGAUCAAACAGGAUUAGAUACCCUGGUAGUCCACGCCCUAAACGAUGAAUACUCGCUGUUAGCGAUACACAGUUAGCGGCUAAGCGAAAGCGUUAAGUAUUCCACCUGGGGAGUACGCCCGCAAGGGUGAAACUCAAAGGAAUUGACGGGGGCCCGCACAAGCGGAGGAGCAUGUGGUUUAAUUCGAUGAUACGCGAGGAACCUUACCCGGGCUUGAAAGUUAGUGAAUGAUCUAGAGAUAGAUCAGUGAGCAAUCACACGAAACUAG
rnacentral:rRNA from 1 species